rnacentral:lncRNA from 1 species
GGUUAUGAGAUAAGUAAAUUCUGAGGUUCAAAUGCAAUGUGUGGUAACUAUGGUUAGUAAUAGUGUAUCAUAUAUUUGAAAUUUUCUGAGAAAGUAUAUCUUAAAUGGUCUCAAAACCACACACCCACAAGAGAUUAUGAUGUGAAGUGAUGAAUGUGUUAAUAAAUGUAAUUGUGAUAAUUAUUCCACAAUGUAGACAUAUAUCAAAUCAUCACAGUGUACAAUUAAAUAUAUUAAAUUUUAUUUCAGUCAUUCCUCAAUAAAGCUGAAAAAAAAAGAAUGAAUGAGUCAGUUGACUGAUGAGAGGAAUGGAGGAUCUGAAUGAGAUCAAGAGCCUCUGCUCACCCUCAUGGAACACUAUCUAGCUGCUGCCACUAUCAAACAUCCAAGUCUCCAGGAAUAAAGACCAAAUCUGAGUUUUUUAUGUGGUAUCAUAUUUCAAGGAGAACAAUUUUGGUGGCAAAUUGACAAUAAUGGGCCCCAUGAAAGGGCAACAAUUUAUCUUCAGCUAAAUCAACAUGAAUUUUAAGUAUGAACUUGCCUUUCCUAGAAGACCCUGCCAGCACCAUCAACUGAGGAUGUAUAGAGUCUGAUCUCCAACAAAGGACCCCAUAUAACAUCAUAUUGAUCCAAACGAUACUGUACAGAAAACAAAUAUGGCAGUGGGCACAUGUCACUGCAUCCAUUGAACAUUUUUGCAUAAUGCUCCUCUCAGUUGUCCUGAUAGAAUAUGGAAGAAUGCAGUCAGGGGCCAGCUUAGAGCUGAUAAAUAAUGAGGAUGGGACCUUAUCCUUCACGAUGCAGUAUAUAACCAAAAUAAACAACCAUAAUACUGAACUCUGUCUUUAAUAUAUAGAACAAGAACCAAGGAAUGGAAACAGGAGUGAUCUUACUACCAUCACUCCCACUGACUUGGGGGAAUUUGUGCUUCCCAUACCUGGGAAGUGCUUUCACUAGCAUUAUAUAAUACUAAAUUUCAGUGGUACCUGG